UAAGCAUAUCAUAGCGAGAAAGAACUAACAAGGAUUCCCCUAGUAGCGGCGAGCGAACCGGGAGAAGCCCAGCUUGAAAAUCGCGUGGUUUCGGCGACGCGAGUUGUAGUCUGGAGAAGUGUCCUCUGCGGCGGACCCGGCUUAAGUCCCCUGGAAAGGGGCGUCAGAGAGGGUGAGAACCCCGUCGGGCCGGGACCCUGCCGCUCCACGAGGCGCUGUCGACGAGUCGGGCUGUUUGGGAAUGCAGCCCUAAGCGGGAGGUAAAUUCCUUCCAAGGCUAAAUACAGGCGGGAGACCGAUAGCGAACAAGUACCGCGAGGGAAAGAUGAAAAGGACUUUGAAAAGAGAGUUAAAAAGUGCUUGAAAUUGCUGGGAGGGAAGCGAAUGGAGGCCUCGUGUGCGCCCCGGUCGGAUGCGGAACGGCGCGAGCUGGUCCGCCGCUCGACGCGGGGCGCUGGUCGGCGUGGGCUCCUCCGGCGGGACAAAAGUCAGCCUUUUGUGGCUGGCCGAUGCCGUCGAAGGGGCCGAGGAAACGAAGUGCGCGCCCGUCUCUCGGGCGGGCUCCCCCUUCGCGGGGGGAGCACCUGCGCACUCGGGACGCCGGCGUAGUGGGCUUUUCAUCCGACCCGUCUUGAAACACGGACCAAGGAGUCUAACAUGCAUGCGAGCCGGUGGGCGGCAAACCCACACUAGAGAGGCGAAAAUAACUUGACAGGUGUGAUCCUCCUCCGCGGGGUGCAACAUCGACCGACCAUGAUCUUCUGUGAAAGGUUCGAGUAAGAGCAUGCCUGUUGGGACCCGAAAGAUGGUGAACUAUGCCUGAGCAGGGCGAAGUCAGAGGAAACUCUGGUGGAGGCUCGUAGCGAUACUGACGUGCAAAUCGUUCGUCAGACUCGGGUAUAGGGGCGAAAGACUAAUCGAACCAUCUAGUAGCUGGUUCCCUCCGAAGUUUCCCUCAGGAUAGCUGGAGCACGAGGAGUUUCAUCAGGUAAAGCGAAUGAUUAGAGGCAUCGGGGGUGAAACACCCUCGACCUAUUCUCAAACUUUAAAUAGGUGAGAUCCGAUUUUUUUUGGGGUUGCUUGAUUGAACCCCCGGCGGAGAAUCCGAACGCUCCAAGUGGGCCAUUUUUGGUAAGCAGAACUGGCGAU
rnacentral:rRNA from 1 species